GUCUCCAUAGCUCAGUGGUUUAGAGCGGCCGCCUGCAGUUUAUACACCCAAUGUCUGGGUAGUGCAUGAGACAUUGCGUAGCACAGCGGCAGGUCACGUGUUCAAAUCACGUUGGGGACU
rfam:Puccinia sorghi strain RO10H11247 Scaffold_1321, whole genome shotgun sequence.